GAUGAACGCUGGCGGCGUGCCUAAUACAUGCAAGUCGAGCGAACAGAUGAGGAGCUUGCUCCUCUGACGUUAGCGGCGGACGGGUGAGUAACACGUGGAUAACCUACCUAUAAGACUGGGAUAACUUCGGGAAACCGGAGCUAAUACCGGAUAAUAUAUUGAACCGCAUGGUUCAAUAGUGAAAGACGGUUUUGCUGUCACUUAUAGAUGGAUCCGCGCCGCAUUAGCUAGUUGGUAAGGUAACGGCUUACCAAGGCAACGAUGCGUAGCCGACCUGAGAGGGUGAUCGGCCACACUGGAACUGAGACACGGUCCAGACUCCUACGGGAGGCAGCGGUAGGGAAUCUUCCGCAAUGGGCGAAAGCCUGACGGAGCAACGCCGCGUGAGUGAUGAGGGUCUUCGGAUCGUAAAACUCUGUUAUUAGGGAAGAACAAAUGUGUAAGUAACUAUGCACGUCUUGACGGUACCUAAUCAGAAAGCCACGGCUAACUACGUG
rnacentral:rRNA from 1 species